UGCGCAGGCGGCUCCUUAAGUCAGAUGUGAAAGCCCCGGGCUUAACCUGGGAACUGCGUUUGAAACUGGGGAGCUAGAGUGUAGAAGAGGGGGUGGAAUUCCAGGUGUAGCAGUGAAAUGCGUAGAGAUCUGGAGGAACACCGAUGGCGAAGGCAGCCCCCUCGGGCUAACACUGACGCUCAUGCACGAAAGCGUGGGGAGCAAACA
rnacentral:rRNA from 1 species